AUUUUUCUCACUGAUUUAGAGUUUUUAGACUUAAAUAUGUUUAAAACGUUAAUUUUGUCAAUCCAAGACAUUAACUCAUUUGCUUAUUAUUUAGUUCAUUGGUGUUUGGCAGGGUGUUGACAUACCAAUAAAACCUUCUCCAAAGGCAUGACUGGAAGAAGCUUUCAAGGUGAGUUUUAAUAGUUUUAGUUCUUUCCAGAGCAUGUAAAGACACCAAGUUCUUCCAAACCUAUUGUCCAUAAAUACAUUUAUGAGGUUUAAUUAUAUGAGCUAUUGUAAGUUGGAACAUUAGGGACAAAAUAAUUAAAAUAACAUAUUUUUAUUGAAAUAA